UUGCGUUAGGGAUAGCAGUGUAAAUCCUUUUUAAAAUUUGACAGCACUAAUUAUUGUGAAGAACUAGAAUUCUGCAGUUUGCUUCGUCGUUUAAUCCUCGCAAUGACUUUUAAAAAGAUUGUAACGUAUAGCCCGACCCGAU
rnacentral:sRNA from 1 species